rnacentral:sRNA from 1 species
AGAGAACGUUGCCACAGGCAACGGCCCGAAGGGUGAGGAGCGAAGCGACGAAUAAUCCUUCCCCCACCACCA